rnacentral:rRNA from 1 species
ACGGAAGGCAGCAGUGAGGAAUAUUGGUCAAUGGGCGGAAGCCUGAACCAGCCAAGUCGCGUGAAGGAUGAAGGUAUUAUGUAUUGUAAACUUCUUUAGCUGUGGAGCAAUAAUCGCCAUGCAUGGCGAGAUGAGAGUACACAGAGAAUAAGGAUCGGCUAACUCCGUGCCAGCAGCCGCGGUAAUACGGAGGAUCCGAGCGUUAUCCGGAUUUAUUGGGUUUAAAGGGUGCGCAGGCGGCUUUCUAAGUCAGUGGUUAAAUAGCGGUGCUCAACGCCGUCCCGCCAUUGAUACUGGAGAGCUUGAUUGCGGUCGAGGUUUGCGGAAUUCGUCGUGUAGCGGUGAAAUGCAUAGAUAUGACGAAGAACUCCGAUUGGGAAGCCAGCUUACUGUAGCGCCACUGACGCUGAUGCUCGAAAGCGUGGGUAUCGAACAGGAUUAGAUACCCUGGUA